CCUGCCGGCGCCGGAGCCCUGCAGGCACAAGGACGCCUGGGACGUGCAACACCUGUUCUAAACGACCUGCCGGAUGAGGCAGUGCUGUCCGCUGAUAACACACCUGGCAGUCAGGCGACAAUUCGGCCGGGGAGCGCUGCGAAAACAUGCAUGCAAGGCGCUGUGCCCACACCAGCGGUGGGGAGCAUGUGAGUGGGAGAAAACAUCGACAUCCACAUCCAGCCUGGAAGCAGCAGCCGCAGCCCAGGAACCCUCUCUCCACUGCCACCACCCAUGUCGCGCUCUAAGCCAUGCCUGCUUGACAGAACUCCUGAAGAAAAACAUCACUGGGCAACACAAAACUGAUAAGGCUUAGACUUUGGAGACUCUCCCUCCCCUCCCCACCUGCAGUCAAGGAUGAACCCGGGAAUAUCUCCUGCAAGCCAAAGGCAGCAGCACCCUUUCCUGGCCCUCCUCCAGCCAGAGAAAGCAUCUUGGGGCUUUAAAUGCCGAAGGAACACUGCUCUGAAGCCCCUUCCUGACAUAGCACCUCCCAUGGCACAGGACUACUGGGAGCGGACACAGGACCACAUCCUCCUAUCAUUGAUCAGUUUCAUGUGUAGCCACAGCAGAUGUGGUUACAGCCAGAGUGCAGUCAAAACCUAUCCUGUAAGAUCAUAAUUUUUGCCAUUUAUAGAGAUUCAGGGCAGCUUUUCUGUUUGGGGCCA